rnacentral:rRNA from 1 species
GGGGCAGCACAGGGUAGCAAUACCUGGGUGGCGACCGGCAAACGGGUGCGGAACACGUACAGAACCUUUCCUUUCGAGCGGGGAAUAGCCCAGAGAAAUUUCGGAUUAAUACCCCAUAGCAUAAUGGAGUCGGCAUCACUUUGUUAUUAAAGAUUUAUCACUUGAAGAUGGCUGUGCGUAUGAUUAGGUAGUUGGCGGGGUAACGGCCCACCAAGCCUACGAUCAUUAACUGGUGUGAGAGCACGACCAGUCACACGGGCACUGAGACACGGGCCCGACUCCUACGGGAGGCAGCAGUAAGGAAUAUUGGUCAAUGGACGCAAGUCUGAACCAGCCAUGCCGCGUGGAGGAUGAAGGUCCUCUGGAUUGUAAACUUCUUUUAUCUGGGACGAAAAAAGGGAAUUCUUUCUCGUCUGACGGUACCAGAUGAAUAAGCACCGGCUAACUCCGUGCCAGCAGCCGCGGUAAUACGGAGGGUGCAAGCGUUAUCCGGAUUCACUGGGUUUAAAGGGUGCGUAGGCGGGUAUGUAAGUCCGUGGUGAAAUCUCCGAGCUUAACUCGGAAACUGCCAUGGGUACUGCGUAUCUUGAAUGUUGUGGAGGUGAGCGGAAUAUGUCAUGUAGCGGUGAAAUGCUUAGAUAUGACAUAGAACACCAAUUGCGAAGGCAGCUCACUACACAAAUAUUGACGCUGAGGCACGAAAGCGUGGGGAUCAAACAGGAUUAGAUACCCUGGUAGUCCACGCCCUAAACGAUGAUUACUCGACAUACGUGAUACACAAUGUGUGUCUGAGCGAAAGCAUUAAGUAAUCCACCUGGGAAGUACGACCGCAAGGUUGAAACUCAAAGGAAUUGACGGGGGUCCGCACAAGCGGUGGACAUGUGGUUUAAUUCGAUGAUACGCGAGGAACCUUACCUGGGCUAAAAUGCUGGGAAACCGUGGGUGAAA